rnacentral:rRNA from 1 species
GAUGAACGCUGGCGGCGUGCCUAAUACAUGCAAGUCGAGCGAACAGACGAGGAGCUUGCUCCUCUGACGUUAGCGGCGGACGGGUGAGUAACACGUGGAUAACCUACCUAUAAGACUGGGAUAACUUCGGGAAACCGGAGCUAAUACCGGAUAAUAUAUUGAACCGCAUGGUUCAAUAGUGAAAGACGGUUUUGCUGUCACUUAUAGAUGGAUCCGCGCCGCAUUAUCUAGUUGGUAAGGGAACGGCUUACCAAGGCAACGAUGCGUAGCCGACCUGAGAGGGGGAUCGGCCACACUGGAACUGAGACACGGUCCAGACUCCUACGGGAGGCAGCAGUAGGGAAUCUUCCGCAAUGGGCGAAAGCUUGACGGAGCAACGCCGCGUGAGUGAUGAAGGUCUUCGGAUCGUAAAACUCUGUUAUUAGGGAAGAACAAAUGUGUAAGUAACUAUGCACGUCUUGACGGUACCUAAUCAGAAAGCCACGGCUAACUACGUG